UCCGAUUUUUGCUCGGGAAGAUUUUAGCCCAUUUUGACUUUUGGGCUAGAUUUCUCGAAAACCGUGAAUCCCACGAGAAAACCGAGGCCACCAGCACGCUCCAUUCGUCGAGAGCUUCGCAACGACAUAAAUUUUGAAUUUUUCCGACACCGUUUUUCGGUAUCCUCGAUUCGUGGAAAUUCGACAGUUGACCGGGUCUGCAAAUUUCGGGCCAGACAGACCCGUUACCGGAAAAGUCUCCGAAUUGGACCGAGGUUUUGGCUAGCCCCCCAUUGUCAGACGUCCCGAGCGCGUUCCCGAAGUCGGAAUCGGCAAAGGUGAGCCGGGACAGCCUUCUUCCUCCGCUCAGCCGCCUCAGUGACCAUCGUCAAGUCUGUGAGUAGAAUAUUAAUUUUAAUUGUAAUUUCGAUAUUAUUAUAUGUUCAAGCAUGCCCAUGCAUCACUUAUAUGCAUAUAUUUAUGUAGUUAAACUCUAGGCACGAUUUAUGUUGCAUUCAUAACUGUUGAUGUGCCAUGGAUGUUGUUGUGGUAAUUUGGAGCAGUGUGCGUGCGUUGGCGUGCGUGUGAUGUGGUGUGGACUAUGGAUAGGACGGGGCAGUCACGGCUUGAGUAAUUCGCUGGGACCCUCGAUUUGGUUAAUAA